GGACUACUGGGGUUUCUAAUCCUGUUUGCUCCCCACGCUUUCGCACCUGAGCGUCAGUCUUUGUCCAGGGGGCCGCCUUCGCCACCGGUAUUCCUCCAGAUCUCUACGCAUUUCACCGCUACACCUGGAAUUCUACCCCCCUCUACAAGACUCUAGCCUGCCAGUUUCGAAUGCAGUUCCCAGGUUGAGCCCGGGGAUUUCACAUCCGACUUGACAGACCGCCUGCGUGCGCUUUACGCCCAGUAAUUCCGAUUAACGCUUGCACCCUCCGUAUUACCGCGGCUGCUGGCAC
rnacentral:misc_RNA from 1 species